rnacentral:rRNA from 1 species
GACGAACGCUGGCGGCGUGCUUAACACAUGCAAGUCGAGCGGAGCGGCGAACGGGUGAGUAACUCGUUAGUAACUGCCCCCCUCUCUGGGAUAACAGUUGGAUACGGCUGCUAAUACCGGAUAGUGGGGGAUGACUCGCGGCCUAUCAGCUUGUUGGUUGGGUAUGGGCCUACCAAGGCGACGACGGGUAGCCGGCCUGAGAGGGCGACCGGCCACAUUGGGCUGAGAUACGGCCCAAAGUCCAACGGGGGGCAGCAGGGGGGAAUAUUGCACAGUGGGGGAAACCCUGAUGCAGAAAUCCGCGUGCGGGAUGAAGGCUUUCGAGUUGUAAACCGCUUUAAGCCAUGACGCGGUAGUGGCAGAAGAAGCACCGGCUAACUACGUGCCAGCAGCCGCGGUAAUUC